GAUGAACGCUGGCGGCGUGCCUAAUACAUGCAAGUCGAGCGAACGGACGAGAAGCUUGCUUCUCUGAUGUUAGCGGCGGACGGGUGAGUAACACGUGGAUAACCUACCUAUAAGACUGGGAUAACUUCGGGAAACCGGAGCUAAUACCGGAUAAUAUUUUGAACCGCAUGGUUCAAAAGUGAAAGACGGUCUUGCUGUCACUUAUAGAUGGAUCCGCGCUGCAUUAGCUAGUUGGUAAGGUAACGGCUUACCAAGGCAACGAUGCAUAGCCGACCUGAGAGGGUGAUCGGCCACACUGGAACUGAGACACGGUCCAGACUCCUACGGGAGGCAGCAGUAGGGAAUCUUCCGCAAUGGGCGAAGGCCUGACGGAGCAACGCCGCGUGAGCGAUGAAGGUCUUCGGAUCGUAAAACUCUGUUAUUAGGGAAGAACAUAUGUGUAAGUAACUGUGCACAUCUUGACGGUACCUAAUCAGAAAGCCACGGCUAACUACGUG
rnacentral:rRNA from 1 species